UACGUAGGUGGCAAGCGUUAUCCGGAUUUACUGGGUGUAAAGGGCGUGUAGGCGGGAGAGCAAGUCAGACGUGAAAUUCCAGGGCUCAACCCUGGAACUGCGUUUGAAACUGCCAUGCUGGAGUGCCGGAGAGGUAAGCGGAAUUCCUAGUGUAGCGGUGAAAUGCGUAGAUAUUAGGAGGAACACCAGUGGCGGAGGCGGCUUACUGGACGGUAACUGACGCUGAGGCUCGAAAGCGUGGGGAGCAAACAGG
rnacentral:rRNA from 1 species